rnacentral:rRNA from 1 species
GUUACAGCCGCCGCGGUAAUACAGAGGGCCCGAGCGUUGCGCGGAUUUACUGGGCUUAAAGGGUGCGUAGGCGGGAGCUUAAGUGUCUCGUGAAAUCCCACGGCUCAACCGUGGAACCGCGGGGCAUACUGGGCUCCUUGAGGUCGGUAGGCGCUGCCGGAACUGUAGGUGUAGCGGUGAAAUGCGUAGAUAUCUACAGGAACGCCGAUGGUGAAGACGGGCAGCUGGGCCGAUUCUGACGCUGAGGCACGAAAGCGUGGGGAUCAAACAGGAUAAGAUACCCGUGUAGUCC